rnacentral:rRNA from 1 species
UACGUAGGGUGCAAGCGUUAAUCGGAAUUACUGGGCGUAAAGCGUGCGCAGGCGGUUCUAUAAGACAGAUGUGAAAUCCCCGGGCUCAACCUGGGAACUGCAUUUGUGACUGUAGAGCUGGAGUGCGGCAGAGGGGGAUGGAAUUCCGCGUGUAGCAGUGAAAUGCGUAGAUAUGCGGAGGAACACCGAUGGCGAAGGCAAUCCCCUGGGCCUGCACUGACGCUCAUGCACGAAAGCGUGGGGAGCGAACAGG